rnacentral:rRNA from 1 species
AGUGAACGCUGGCGGUAGGCCUAACACAUGCAAGUCGAACGGCAGCACAGUAAGAGCUUGCUCUUACGGGUGGCGAGUGGCGGACGGGUGAGGAAUACAUCGGAAUCUACUUUUUCGUGGGGGAUAACGUAGGGAAACUUACGCUAAUACCGCAUACGACCUACGGGGGAAAGCAGGGGAUCUUCGGACCUUGCGCGAUUGAAUGAGCCGAUGUCGGAUUAGCUAGUUGGCGGGGUAAAGGCCCACCAAGGCGACGAUCCGUAGCUGGUCUGAGAGGAUGAUCAGCCACACUGGAACUGAGACAGGGUCCAGACUCCUACGGGAGGGAGCAGUGGGGAAUAUUGGACAAUGGGCGCAAGCCUGAUCCAGCCAUACCGAGUGGGUGACGAAGGCCUUCGGGUUGUAAAGCCCUUUUGUUGGGAAAGAAAAGCAGCAGGUUAAUACCCCGCUGUUCUGACGGUACCCAAAGAAUAAGCACCGGCUAACUUCGUG